rnacentral:rRNA from 1 species
GAGUUUGAUCAUGGCUCAGGAUGAACGCUGGCGGCGCGCCUAACACAUGCAAGUCGAACGGUUAAAGCCCCUUCGGGGGUGCAUAGAGUGGCGAACGGCUGAGUAACACGUGGGCAACCUGCCCCCCGCACCGGGACAGCCUCGGGAAACCGUGGUUAAUACCGGAUACUCCGCCACCCCCGCAUGGGGGCGGCGGGAAAGCCCAGGCGGAGGGGGAUGGGCCCGCGGCCUGUUAGCUCGUUGGCGGGGUAACGGCCCACCAAGGCGAUGAUGGGUAGCCGGGUUGAGAGACCGACCGGCCAGAUUGGGGCUGAGACACGGCCCAGACUCCUACGGGAGGCAGCAGUGGGGAAUCUUGCACAAUGGGCGAAAGCCUGAUGCAGCGACGCCGCGUGCGGGACGAAGGCCUUCGGGUCGUAAACCGCUUUCAGCAGGGACGAGGCCGCGAGGUGACGGUACCUGCAGAAGAAGCCCCGGCUAACUACGUGCCAGCAGCCGCGGUAAUACGUAGGGGGCGAGCGUUAUCCGGAUUCAUUGGGCGUAAAGCGCGCGCAGGCGGCCUGCUCGGUCGGGAGUCAAAUCCGGGGGCUCAACCCCCGCCCGCUCCCGAUACCGGCGGGCUUGAGUCUGGUAGGGGAAGGCGGAAUUCCCAGUGUAGCGGUGGAAUGCGCAGAUAUUGGGAAGAACACCGGUGGCGAAGGCGGCCUUCUGGGCCACGACUGACGCUGAGGCGCGAAAGCUAGGGGAGCGAACAGGAUUAGAUACCCUGGUAGUCCUAGCCGUAAACGAUGGACACUAGGUGUGGGGGGAGGAUCCCUCCGUGCCGCAGCCAACGCAUUAAGUGUCCCGCCUGGGGAGUACGGCCGCAAGGCUAAAACUCAAAGGAAUUGACGGGGGCCCGCACAAGCAGCGGAGCAUGUGGCUUAAUUCGAAGCAACGCGAAGAACCUUACCAGGGCUUGACAUGCGGGUGAAGCGGCGGAGACGCCGUGGCCGAGAGGAGCCCGCACAGGUGGUGCAUGGCUGUCGUCAGCUCGUGUCGUGAGAUGUUGGGUUAAGUCCCGCAACGAGCGCAACCCCCGUCGCAUGUUGCCAGCGGUCCGGCCGGGCACCCAUGCGAGACCGCCGGCGUCAAGCCGGAGGAAAGGUGGGGACGACGUCAAGUCUUCAUGCCCCUUAUGUUCCUGGGCUGCACACA